ensembl:lncRNA novel transcript
UUGGAAGUGAAUUAAGACCCUCUCUUGGAUACCAGCUGUGAAAGAACGGACUUUUUUUACCUAGUAAGGAUGUGACAGACCUGCUCCUGACCCUUCUUUGUUAGUGGCCAGUAAAUAUACGCAAGGCAAAGUCCCACCCUAGUUUUGAAAAAAGCCAAACUAACAACUCUGCCCAAUUUCAAGGAACCGAUAUAAUUUUCAGUACAUGAGUGUGAUUUAGAAAUGGAAACAACAUCAGAGCAGGGUUAAAUCAACAACCAAGCCAUAGACCUUAAAAGGACCAGACUUCAUGGUUCAAUGAUGCCAAGAAAAAGAUUCCACCUAUAAACUCUUUAGAAAGUAACCACCUCAGAAAGUUCCAGACAAACCAGUUCUGCUUUGCAGAUCAGCCCUGUAUAAAGCUCUUACCACAUUAGUAAGAAGUUACUUGUGCUUUGGUUACAAACAGGCACAAUUAAAGGGAA